UCCGUAGGGUGCAAGCGUUGUCCGGAAUUAUUGGGCGUAAAGAGCUCGUAGGCGGUUUGUCGCGUCUGCUGUGAAAACUCGGGGCUUAACCCCGGGCCUGCAGUGGGUACGGGCAGACUAGAGUGCGGUAGGGGAGACUGGAAUUCCUGGUGUAGCGGUGAAAUGCGCAGAUAUCAGGAGGAAACCCGGUGGCGAAGGCGGGUCUCUGGGCCGUAACUGACGCUGAGGAGCGAAAGCGUGGGGAGCGAACAGG
rnacentral:rRNA from 1 species